UCCGCAAGUGCCCCUCCAUAGGGUUGGGAUAAUAGGGAAUCAGGUGAGAAUCCUGAACAAUCGGGUUGCUGUAUUUCGGGUGCCAGCCGCACAAUGCCAUUGCUUAAAGUGAGAAGGCGCGGACUGGCCAUACGCGAUAAGUCAGAAGACCUGCUUACGGAAU
rnacentral:ncRNA from 1 species